GUUGGAUUUCUGGUGGGAGCGAGCGGUCUGCUCUUCUGGAGUAUGUACUAGCGUCGCAUCCGGCCAUCCUUGUGGAGAACGGCCCUGGCAUUAACUUGUUGGAGUCGGGAUCCGCAUCGUUUACUGUGAAAAAAUUAGAGUGUUUAAAGCAGGCAAUUGCUGUGAAUACAUUAGCAUGGAAUAAUAAGAUAGGACUUUGGUGCUAUUUUGUUGGUUUGCACACCAAGGUAAUGAUUAAUAGGGAUAGUUGGGGGUAUUCAUAUUUAAUUGUCAGAGGUGAAAUUCUAGGAUUUAUGAAAGAUGAACUUAUGCGAAAGCAUUUGCCAAGGAUGUUUUCAUUAAUCAAGAACGAAAGUUAGGGGAUCGAAGAUGAUUAGAUACCAUCGUAGUCUUAACCAUAAACUAUGCCGACUAGGGAUUGGAGGACGUUAAUUUUAUGACUCCUUCAGCACCUUAUGAGAAAUCAAAGUCUUUGGGUUCCGGGGGGAGUAUGGUCGCAAGGCUGAAACUUAAAGGAAUUGACGGAAGGGCAC
rnacentral:rRNA from 1 species